GGUUGCAUAGUGUAAUGGUUAUCACGGGAGGUUUUGGCUCUCCAGAUCGGGGUUCGAUUCCCCGUGCGACCU